UGCAAUUCCACCGAGCUGGUCAGUCUCUCUCUCGUACGUUCAGUCUCUCGCGUGACGAGCCUCUGCAAAAUCCUCUUCGGAGAAGAUGGGUCCCUUCUUUCUUCUCUGUUUCUGAUCGAUUGGUUGAUGGGUCCGACUGGUUUCUUGGUCUGAUUUGCGCUUGGCUUCUUUGGGACGAUGCCGAUGGUCAUCGGAAUUAUUUGGUUUAAGCUCGUCCUUUGAUCAUCUAUCGAUUCCUCGACCGGUCAAUCUUUUGGGUUAUUCUUUUCCACGGCUCAUUCUGAAAUUUUUGUUACUCGGUGGAUUGGCAGUGUCCUUUUUCCUCUUGAUUCACAUACGUGUUCGUUUGAGGAUUUCCUUAUGGGAAUUGUUUGGUUUAGCUCCUCCUUUGAUUGUGUACGGAUUUAUGAAACGAUUGAUUGUUAUUUGGUGAAUUCGCAGUGGAUUCUUUUCCCUUGGAGCGAACUGUUUGUCUGAGGAUGUUGUUUAAGGACGAUAAAUGGCGACACUGGUCAGUUUUUUUUUCAUAAAACAAGGCAUUUUUGCUCUUUGGAGGACUGAGGAUCUGCUUCGCCAUUAUUUUUUUCCUUUUGGUUGAGGUGAUGAACUGUUAGUAGUCUCUGAUCACAUUUUUUUUUUUUUUUUGGGCAAUUAUCAGUUUUGAUUGAAAUUUGUUCUUCAGUUUUCUUAUUUUAAUCUUUUGGAGAUGAUCAUGGUCUGGUUCCAAUUCUUUUACUGGAUGUGAUUUUGCCGGGCUCAAGAAGUGGUGAUCUGUUGCUUUAUCUCUGUGAAGUCGAGUUUAUGAUCUCUGAUGAUCAGAUAAGCUACCGUUUUUUGAGGCAGUUAUUGGUUGGAAUGGAGUUUUUUGUCCAGUCUUCUUAUAUUCAAUUGAUGUUUAAACCAGUUCUCAUUACUUUGGAGGUCAGAGUUUGGUCGACGUAUGAAACUGUCCUGGUUAUUAUUUAUGCAACGUGUAUGCUCACUUCAGAUCAUUGCUGUUGAAAAUUUAAAGAUGGUGGUCUCUCCUAGAAAUAGUCCCUCUUUUGUGCUGUCAUCCUUCAGUCUUGCGCCACACCUUUGAUUGCGCGUGCAAUUCCUCUGUUGUUUGCUCUUUGCUUGACAGUCUCUGCUGAGUACUCUUCAGAGAAGACAUCGUUCCUGAAUUGCACUCUUUCUUGAUCCUUCUUCUUUUCUUUCUGUUUGUCAUUUUUUAUAUAUUAUCUAGUGGAGCCAAAUUGAAUUAGCAGACCAUAUUCCUGCAGGGGAUAACACUUGGUUUGAGGAUUUCACACAUUUGGUGAGCAUGGGGUUCGGUUUUCUUCUUUUUUGUAAGUUUCUAUUUGCUGCAAUUGGGAAAAAAAAAAAACUUCCCAUUUACCCUUUUGAUUCUUAUCAUAUUGUGAUCAGAUGACCAAUGUCUACGUUAUUUCUAUUUUAUUUUAUCGACAACGAACAUCAUACUUGCUCAAGUGGAAAAGUCAAGCAGGAUGUUUCUAACUUUUCCUUUUUGAUUUCUUAUGAUAUUUCAUUAAUUGGAUCGUGCUAUUAAUUCGUACAUAUAACCUAUUACACCGAUCAAGCAUAGCUGUUGAAUCUAUUUAUAAAUAAGAUCACCAUUUGCAACAUGAUCCUUUUGUUUUAGAUGAUUUGUCCACCAGAUAAUUUAACUUAUGGUUCUAAAAUGCAUCUUUUUCUCGUCAGCUAUACAUGGGUGGUUUGUGUUCAUUUUACUUCUAAUUGGAAUUGUCAAACAGUUUCGUUUGAUUUGCUAUAUUGCCUUUGAAGGCACGGAUAUUGUAGUAUCUGGGCGGCCUAUUGGGAGAACAGAAUUGGUGUAGGUCCUGAUUGAAUCUGUAUGAAUGUCUUGAGGUUCAUCAACAUUAUCCGGUUCAAGUUUCCCCCUGAUUUUUUUAAUUAAUAAAAUUGUUUGCGUGAAAUGUAUGGACUUAUUCAGCCCUUGACUGGAGCGAUCUCUUCAGCUAAGUGUGUUGUGCAAAGAUGGUAUAGGAUUCAGUGAUCAAAGAAUUCAUGUUAGUCAAGUAAGUGCAAACAGGAGGCAAUCUUGUUCAUUUGAGUUGCCGAAUCAUCUUCUUUGUGGAUAUGAGCCAUCAGCUGAAACUAAAUUCUUCAAAUUGGAUUGUCUAUAGCUGCUUGAGAACCCGGAUAGAUCUGGUUCUAUCUGUAUUUUCAAGGAUUAAAGGAGAUGCACGGAUGUGUCGUUCUCCUCUUGUAGGUUGGAGUCUUCUUGCUGCAAACCAGGUUGCGUUUCUCAUCUUUUUCUGCAAAAUUCAUUGGAUAAACUACAAUUGAAUUGUGAGCCCAAAGUUAUGGGUGCUUUUAAAUUGUGCUUCCAACUGUAGUUGUUGCUUUCUUGGUCAUUAGGUGGCACACAUUAUUGGGAGCUUGACUUUAUGGACUAGAGACCGGCUCUGACUAUGUUACUUAUCUCCAUUAGAUGGUUCUACCUUACACUUGUGAUAUGGGAUAUUGAUAUCAGUUAUUCACUAAUAUCAUGGCAAAUCAGAUUAUCCAUGUCUACAUUCAAUUUUUUUGGUUCACUCUGGAGCUCUCUUCUGGAUGCUCUUAAUUUUAUCUUCUCCUGAUCUAUAUUUGCCUCACAAAUGGUUUUUUAUGUCUUGUUAUUGACAUUGUGAAUUACUUGGCCACAAGUUUCCUCAAUCCCUGCACAUGGUUUCUCUAAUUACUCUACAAAACUUGCCAAGUCCUCAGGAAGCUGGCAUUGAUAAACCUUCAAACUAUAUCCGCAGGAAUCAUGAAUGUGGGAAUUUGGAUGUGGAUGAUGGUUAGGAUGGUUUUGUCAACUUUUUUAUGCCUACUCUUUGAUUGAGAUGGUAUGCUGUCGUUUCUUUUGGCAGGUUGUAUGAUGUUGGAGCUAUGCAUAAGUUAGUUGAUGUUGAAUUUGAGGAUAAACAGUUCUCAAGACCUCGCAUAGGAAUUCAUGCUUCCUGCACAGGAUGUGUGGAGCUGUUCCGGUUUGUUGUCUAUCAGUUUUUUCCUUUGUUGAGCAAAUUUUUGUGACUUUAUAUAUUAGGACAACUACGUCAAUUGUGAUUGGCAGCAUAUAGAUCAAGCAUAACUGGGCAGAUCUUUGGACAAACUAUAACAGCGGGUUGACAGCAAAUCCAUCUAAGCAUGGUUCCUAGCAGAUUUGAGGUCCUGUCUCUUUACAUGAUUUUGUGUCUUAGGACAAAGUAUAACAGGGGGAUGGUUCUUAGUUGGGUUAAAGUGUGGCCAGUAGUUUUAUUAUUAAAAAGAUUUCAGUUGACUCGAUGAUCCUAUAGCUCAUAUAUCUAUACGUUCUUGGUGGAAUUUUGACAUAGGCAGACUUUGAUGACUUCUAUGGCUGGUCUGUUUACUCCUCUUCCCUCCAAGGGAAUUGACUUUUACUUUGCUAAAAAAAAAAAAAAAAUUUUUUUUUUGCUUGUGCUAUCAUUUUUGGGAAAAAGUUCUAAGAAAGGAAAAAGUGAUUCACCAACUUAGUGUGGGAGAAGAAGAAAGUCGGUACUUGUAUCACUCAUUUUUCAUAUAAAUUUUAGUUUGUUGGAGUAAUACAAAUGAGAAUUAUUGAAUGAAGUCUGUUUAGUUUUGUUGCCUUCUCCACCCUUUUGGAUUCGGAUUCCAGAUAUAUGCUGAGCCAAAAUUUCUGUCAGGAGGCUGUGACUGUAGUUGCGCGAGCUGAUCAUCACAACUGGUAUCCAAUGAUGCAAUUAAACUUUCUUUUCACUCCACACUUGAUUUCCUUUUUCUGUUUUGGUAUGAGGACCUUGGUUGCUUUUUUCCCCAUUUUAUUAUUGAGCUGAAUGUCAUAGCAUUCUCUCUUGUCAGCCCUGUGGCUGCUUCCCUAUCGGUUGUUGAAGGAUAUGAUUCUAUUUCUCAUUCCCCCAACAAUCUUCCUCCUGUUAAAUGGCUUGCAUUACUUUGGUCUUCCCAACUUACAUAUUUUUGUUGGUCUAUUUCCCGUUAUUGAAUGGUGCAGAGUCUCUGCAAGGUAUACUUUGGUCUUCUGUCAGCCAUAUUCUAAAGUUAUGGUACUGCAUCUAAAUAAUCCAAUAUAUUCACCAGUUACCUAGUUCUCUAGUUGAAAAUCCUAUUGUUGUGCACAUAACAAGAUUUUAUGGAUGCUCUCUCAUUCUUUUAUUGAGAAAAGGAAUCAAAUCACUAGUUCAUGUACUUUGGUUUAUAGAUUAGAAAUUAGGUAUAGUUGUUAGUCUCCGCUUGGCAUUUUGACUACGCUACAACCAACGGAUAUUGUGCUUUUUUUCCUUCCAAAAAACCUUACCCAGAAACCUCGAAAACAUCUUAAUGAAAUCUUGUACAUUUGUGUAUGUAAGUGCUAUAUCCAUUCUUCCUGUUAUUAUCUGUUUUAAACACUGUAUAUCAACUUCCACUAGUAUACAAAUCUAUGUGUUUGUUAAGUCUCUCUAACUCUAUGUUCUACUUUUUUCCUUAGAGGUCAGGAAAGAGGAUCUUUGUGCUUCAACUAUGGGAAGAGGGAAGGAUCUCUUGACUUCGUUUAGCUUUGUGCAGCUUGGAUAUAUUUAAAAUAAAUGAGGAGGAAGCGUUUAUUGUAUAGAUCUAUUUCCUAUUCACCUUUUCCAUAAGAGUAUUGUCUGAUUCUACAUUUGCUAGGUGUUGGCUGGAUGAUGUUAUAAGCAUCCGCACCUCAACACUUUGGUCAGAUAUUCUUUUUACAUCUCUUUUUAUCCAAUUUACAUAUUUCUUUUGUUUUGUGAGUUAAAUAUUUUGCGAUAGUGUGGUAGACCAUCAUAUUAAUAUUAUUACAAGCCCUUUUGUUUAGGCAACUUCACUUUUAUGCCUUACAUUCCAAUCCUUUCUACUGCUUUUUGUUAGAACUUUUAAUAUUGCUUUCUUCAUACAUUUUCAUUAUCAAGCAGUCAUAUUCCUUGUUCCUUAAGGUUCUUGUCCAUACGGAUUUUCUUGAUGAGCAUGCCUUUUGACUAGGUAAAGAGCAGUAUCUAUGGAAGUACGGUCACCUAAGGUGCAGUGCCCCAUUUCUCAUGACUGUUGAAUACAGAUGUCAACUGCAUAAUCUUUUCCCAGAAUAGGAUACUAGUGUCUUUGAGGAAGGUUUUAAUCAGAAUGUAUGUCUCUUGGUAUCCGCCUGCUGUCCAAAUAACAAUGCCAAUGACUGUGAUAUGGUGGACUUUUCUUGAUCAAACCAAUCCUGCUUUCACUUGCUCCAUCUUGGCUAAGUAAAUGUUUUUCACCACAUCCCCUAGUUUGUCUAUUUUGAUAAUUAUUGCUGCCUUAAUGGUGUGAUCUCAAUGGUGUAAUCAGUAAAUGCGCUAUGUCAGUAGCAUAAAUGAAUCAACAGUCAUGUCUCAUCUGGAUGGCCUUUACCUUUGAAAGUCAAUGUGGAUCUCUAUUUAAUCAAUGGAUGAUUACUUUACCGGAUGAAUUUAGAGAAGUGAAUUGUGUAUUGUUUUUCCAGUUUACUUUUUGGUAUUUGUUUAUUUUCAAUUAAGGAUAGCACUGUGAUUCUUCGCUAGGAACAUUGAUCUUGCGAUUGGACAUAUUUUGCCCUCCUUGCUUCUGUGUUUUGUCCUUGUGUUGUUCUUUACCAAUUUCCAAUUGGGAAAUUUGUGUCACCUAUACUGAAAAUAUCAGGGGUGACCUCAGCUGUUUGGCAAAGUCCCUUUGUCAUGUUGAUCAACUACAAGGUGAUGAUAAUUUGCAGCCAUCAAAUGCUGGGAUUGCACUUGCUAUAAACAUGCAUGAAUUGUACACUUUGCUGUAUCAAUUGGAUGAUGUUUGAAUAUCGUUUAAAUAGAAUUUUAUGGUGGCUUGUUUCUUCCCUCAGUUUUUUACAUUUCUGUGGAACAAAUACUUUACGUGAGACAUGCUGCAGAAUUAAUACUGUACUGUGUUAUUGUUAGUUCACAGGGUGGGAUAUUGUUGCAGGAUGACUUAUAUUGGAGGUGUCAGCAUAAAUUUGGAAUGCAGCGACAACCAUAGCAAUUGAAGCCUUAUCCAGAGCUUCAACUUAGUUAUAAUCCCUCAUUCUAAUUUGAAGUCAAAACUAGACUUUCUCUCUGGAUGAUCAUCUCUUUCUUUGGACGACAAAGUGGGAGAUGAGGGUUUUGUUGCUGAUUCUGACUCUGUUUAUUCGAAGAAACUGGGACUUUCACACGUCCUUUAUCUCUGGGUUUUUCUUGCUGAUUUCCAAUCUCUAGCCAGCCUUUGACAGGUGCUUGCUCCAGUUUGGAGAAUUCUCUUCAGCUAAGUGUGUCACGUGAAGAUGGUAUAGGAUUAGCGAUCAAAGAAUUCAAGCUUGUCAAGUGAGUGAAAACAGGACACAAUAGCGUAUAGAUGGGUAGCCUAAUCAUCUUCUUUGUGGAUAGGAGCCAUCAGCUGAAAUUGGAUCCUUCUAAUAUGGAUUGUCUAUAGCUGCUUGAGAACCCAGAUAAAUCUGGUUCUAUCUUUAUUUCCAAGGAUUAAAGGAAAUGCGUGGAAUGUGUAGUGUUCUCCUCUUGUAGGUUGGGGUCUUCUUGCUGCAAAUCAGAUGAUACGGAAGAACUGGAGGGGGAAAGAGAGAGUGUGCUGGUCGUGAUUCUUUCGUCCUUUCCGGAGAACUACAAAAUGCUUCAAAAACUUAUCCAAGACCAUCUUCACUUCAAAAGUGCA